AUGGUGGUAGCUCAGUGGUAAAGCACUUGCUUUACAUGUAUGAGGCCCUGGGUUCGACACUCAGCACCACA
rfam:Ictidomys tridecemlineatus contig058550, whole genome shotgun sequence.